AUGAACCUCCUCCCUGUACAUUCGUUGCCUUGAAAAAAGAAGUUGCCAAGACGAGUGAAAUUAUACCGAGAAAGGCUGCCGACGGAGGUCGAUGGCUGCCGCACGCACCAUUGGUUUAAAUGGUGUGUAAUUGGAAGCACGUUGUGGUUAAUACUGAAGGCAUUACAAACAAUAUGCUUAAGAUCCGUUGGUUUUGAGUUUCAAACAUUUUUUUUUUUGGGGAUAAAAAGCAGUUUGAAACUCAAAAAUAAACAUCCCCCUAGUUUUUUGUCCAUUAAAACCAUCUACUCAUCCUCAAAUGUUGGGAACAUUCAUCACAUAGUCUCUCAUUUUGGUUAAAUAGACCCCUUUUAUUUUAUUUGUGGGCAUUACAACUCUCAUAUUUUCAAUUUGUUGUCACAUGUGUUUCCCCACUUUCACUUCCUAUGGCUUCCCUCAUGGAUCUUCUGAUUUAACGGAAGGCGGUUCCUUAUAGGGACGCUGGAUGACGCUUUGUGGGUUUCAUAAUAUUGUGCAAUUUUCUUUCCCAGGAUGACUGAUUUGUGAAGAGGAUGAAGGAGGAGUUAGACACUGUAAUUUAAUUGCUGUGCAUGCUGGUUUAGAGAAAGGGAACAGUGUAGAUGAACAGCUAAGGUGAUGGUUCGGUAUUAAUUUUUUAUUUUAUUUUAUCCAAGGAUUGCGAGGACUUUCAUGUGCUGAAACUGUUAGACCUAAUCUGCCAGUUUUUCCAGCAACCUACCUUCUUCAGUGGGAAAUGACUUGAUGUUGAUGGGUUUACACUUUCUGGACAUUUUAUAUCAGCAUUCUUCUUAUUCGAUGUAUGACUGAAACGUCGAUGUUUGAUGGUUAAUUUCUCACAGGAAUUAACAGAGAAAUCAGCCAUUGUUGUUAGCCGCUACCACGGGAAACUUAAGAUUGAGGAUCCUAGAUUGUUUCUUGAUGAAGGUGCUGUUAGCGGCCGGCUUUUUCUCCCGACUAGUGACAAGCAGCACCUCUAUUUCACAAGUUAGUUCCAUUGAUCUUUAAGCUCUAAUCCUAACAAUUAUCAGAGUUGUCCAGCAUCAUCAAACUUUAGGAUGGCUAGAUGCCUGCUUCACUUGUUUAGUUGAUAUUCAUGCGCAUAGGUUCAGCUUAAAACCAGGUUUAGUUCGCCAGCACACAAUCCUGUAGAACUCUAUUUCUAACAAAAUUAUUCACUCAAACUAGAGUCUGGCUAGGUGUUAGGUUUCCAGGAUUUCAGACACGAGCAAUAACAGGAUUGAAUCUACCAUAGGACAUAAAUCCUUCUUUCUUUCUUUCAGUUUUUUUUCAGUGGUAAGGGGAACCUCAGGCCAGCUUAUGCAUCAACAUAGACUAAAUCCCUUCAAGAACGAUGUUAAAUGCAUAAC